rnacentral:misc_RNA from 1 species
UAAUAAGUGUUUUAUGGCACUUUUUAAAUCCAUAUCCACCUUGUGUGCAAUGUCAGUCGAUCUUCUUUAUUGGAGAUCGACCAAACAUCAACCUUUAUCUUUUAACUCUUUGUCUGAAAAAUAUUAUGAAUAAACAAUUCAAAAUA